rnacentral:lncRNA from 10 species
AUUGUUGUUACUGGGAGAGUUUUGGAUUUGGAAUCCCGUGAGCAGGAUUCUAUUCUGGCUGUGCCAUGUGCCAGCUGGGCAGCUGUAGGAAGUCACUUCCUCUCUGAGCCUUCACUUCCCAGUCUCUAAACUGGGGCUCACAAAUGUCGCAUUGCAGUUUGGGGGUGGAUCUGUUGUAAGAAUGGACAGAAAAAAGAUGGUCAACUGUAAUGUGUGGUGCAUCGUGAGCUGUCACUCCCGUGUGCCCUGGUCUCCUGCUGGCCUCACUGUGGUUUGACUCAGACUUGGACUUUCCUGGAAUUCUGAACUUUGCCUCUCUAAGCAAAGCCCGCCAGGGGGUACACUCUGCCUUGUUUUCCAUGGUGCCGUGUUUCCAGCCCUAUCCACCACUGGCUUCUGAUCGGCUGCUUUCUCACACUGCUGUUCCUGCAAGGCUGUGUGGCCCCAUGGUUAAGGGUGAGGGUUCUGCAAGGGUCAGCCAGAUGCGAGUUCCGGUCCUAGGUCCACCACUUACUGGUCAGGUGACCUCAAGAUUGUAAGUUUCCUGAGGCCUCCCCA